AAUUUGGGCAGGGAUGCAAAUUCCUGCGUGAUUUAAAAAAAAACAAAACACAGGCAAUACACAGACAGAGAAACACAGAGAGCAGGAACAGGGACCAGAACACAGGAUAAACCAAAAGAGACACUGGUCAGCACAGAGACUAUACCCGAGGGAUAACUGAACGCAGGUGAAUCACAGAGGAGGGAAAACAGGACAAGGAAGAACUCCGGUGUCUGUAGGUCUUUGAUAAUCAAGAACUCUCAGAUAUAUCGUGAAACAUUGUGAAACUGUAGUGUACAGUCAUGGAAGAGGAGCACACGUAACACUGAAAUGACAGUUGUGUUAUUUCAAGUGUCUGACUGAAUGUCAAAUUGUGCGGGGUAUUUUCCCAGCACUGUCACUUGUGUUGCUCUUGAAUAGACUGGAUUAUCGGAAAGAAUCCUGUCCACGGGGGGAUUACAUUUGCACACCGGUGGCACCAUUGGUACAACAAGAGAGGUUGAAACCGUGAGAAGGGAAAGAAGUGAAGAAGGCCGUCGUCUGUGUCACAGUUGACACAGACGAGUGGUGCACUUCACAACUUGAAUGGGCGCCAUUAAAGAUGAUAGCAUCUGUGGGCAUGAGGCUUUCAGAGGCUUCCAGAUGCUGCAAAAUGACUUAUGGCGGACUCACACAUGCGUGGUGGAGGCUUCAGCUGAAACUCUCCUCACUCACUUUGAUUGGAGCGGCAUCAAGUGUUGCUGAACUGCAUUAUGGGCACAUUCCUAACGGCAGCCGUCAAUGUGAGCAUCGGCGGAUCAACUCGAGGGAGAGCGUGCGAUGACGGACAAAAGAGAGUGCCAGGAAAACAAGAAGAGUCUAUAUGGGCAUUUAAAAUGAAUUACAUCCAUGCAUAAAGUCGCGGUGGACAUGCGGAAGUAUUCAAAGUGCCACUAGUGCUCAAUAGCCCUCAUUAGCAAGAGUAACAGUCUUUAUUUAAAACAAUAAGCACAAGACAGGCAGACAGGAACGAGGAUCCUCAAAUGAGCGUGGAAUCAACGUGGAAGUGGACACUGAUGGGAACAGGUUUGAUCCACAAACAGGAUGAAUUUACAAGCUGUUUGCCAAGUGCCAAAUAAAAAAAAAGGAGGAGGAAGAAGAAAAAGACGACAAUUAUAUCGCAAAGUUAAUCAUUUUUAAUAAUUUGUGGGCAUUUUUGAGGAAUAUCCAGUGCUCAGCCGCUCUUCCUGUUGGACUCGGCUCUUCAGAUCCUGCCUCAGGCAUUUGUUGACCCAAGUUCAUGCUCAGAGGAGGAGAAAGAAGACUCUCCUUGUCCAAAGCCGAUUUGGACAAUUGCUUGGAAGAGUCAAUAUUAUUCGCCACAGGGGCUGAGCAUUAACUCAAUAACAAUAUGUACCGCAAUGUCAUUCUUUUUUCCCGUAAAAAUGUAAAAUAAAUUCAACAUCCACGUGUAAACCCAUUUGACCACAUAUUUCAAUAUGUUUAAUCUUUCUCUCAUUUCAUGCUGUUAUUGAUUGAUUGACUAUUUUUAAUUGAGAUGAUGUUUUGACUAUAUCACCCAGCCCUAAUGUACAUUAUAAAAAGUUAAAUUAUGACAAUGCUUUACACAUCUUGAAGGUCAAGUGUGUAACAAUUGUAAUGACAAAAUGAUGGUGGUUUGUCUAUUUGAGCUGUAGAAACAUAAUGGAUUGUACAAAUAUAAGUGAUUUAAUAGCUU